rnacentral:piRNA from 1 species
UNCAUGAAGCCUGUACUGUGAUCUAGA